CCCUUAGAUGUUCUGGGCUGCACGCGCGCUACACUGAUGCACUCAACGAGUUUACGACCUUGCCCGAUAGGGUUGGGUAAUCUUUUUAAAAUGCAUCGUGAUAGGGAUAGAUUAUUGCAAUUAUUAAUCUUCAACGAGGAAUUCCUAGUAAGCGCAAGUCAUCAGCUUGCGUUGAUUACGUCCCUGCCCUUUGUACACACCGCCCGUCGCUACUACCGAUUGGAUGGCUUAGUGAGACCCUCGGACCGAUAGGCUGUCGCUGCAGCAAUGUGGCGACUGGCCCGUCUGGGAAGAAGGUCAAACUUGACUGUCUAGAGGAAGUAAAAGUCGUAACA
rnacentral:rRNA from 1 species